AGUACAUUAUAUUUAAGUACAUUAUAUUUAUUGUGUACUUUAUUUCUAUUAUUAUUACAUUGUAAUAUAUAACGAAAUAAUUAUAAAACUCAUCAUAAUGCAGAAUCAGGGAGAGCCCUGAGCUUGUUUUCCUGCAACUAGGCAGACUCAUCUGAAGAUAAUGUGAUAAUAUUUAUGUAUAAGAUAAUAUUUAUGUAUAAGCCCAGAUCAUACCCCCAAACCAAAAGGCCAUUGCUAAUUCCCUGAAAUCCUGCAAUGAGAUCCUCACCACCAGGUUGGCUGCUUUACCUGAGAAUCCACCAUCUAUUGACUGGGCUUACUACAAGGCCAAUGUGGCCAAGGCAGGCUUGGUGGAUGACUUUGAGAAGAAGUUUAAUGCCCUGAAGUUUCCUAUGCCAGAGGAUCCAUAUACUGCCCUGGGUGGAUGCUGAUAGAUGAGGAGGCAUGAUCUUCUCACAAGGAGAGUGCAACCUAGAUUCUUCGCAUGCGCAAUUCACAAUCGUUUUCACUGCUCCUGUGAGAACCUAAUGCUGAUGCUGACCUGACAGGAGGCGGAGCUGAGGCAGAGUUCAGUUGGUAACACCAGUGACGGGAGUGGCUGUAAGUACAGACGAAGCUUUGCUCCCUUGCACGAAACUCACCUCCUGCUCCACAGCCGGGAUCCUGACUAUUCAGGGUCCCAGUCUGUGGCCCAGGGUUUGAAGACCUCUGAUCCACAUAAUUAAAACUAUAUAUAAGAAACAGUUCUGUAUACAUUGUGUAUGAGAAAAGUAAAAUGUUACAAGGUAUGAGGAUGUAUUUUUGUUAAAUAACAGUAAUUUUGUCUAGGUUAAAGGGUAUCUAAAAUUUGUUCCAAAAUAAAAAAAAAUUACAAAAUUGUAUAGAUAAAAUUAGAUGAUUAUAAACAGUUGAGGAAAAAGAGAAUUAAAAAAUUUAAGAUGCUACAAAGGUUUUUGAAAAUCCUACUGUGUGUAGUCAAACCUGAUAUAAAACUAAAAUUUGAUUUUCUCUUUUAGACAAAAUUUUAAUUUUAUAAAAGACAGUAAAAAGUUUCGUAAACUUCAAAAAAAGGUGGGGGAGAAAAAGAUUCUGUGUGUUUCAUGCUGUUUUUAUUAGGUCUUUUGAUUAUUUUAAAAACUGAGUCUACUCUAUUAAACAGUAAACGUUUUUGCUUUUUGUCUAAAUGAAUGACUAUUAUUUUAUAGGGACCUGUGAUUCUAUUUGAAUCAAAUGCUCUGAACCUUUGAGAGUUUUGAAAGUCUUCCCAAAAUCAAAUUUCGAAAUCAAAAUUAAAUCUCUUUGACAUCACCUAGUUUUAGAAUGACCCAGACGGAAGCAUGUGAAACAGAGAUAAGAAACAUACUUAUUUUAUGUAUAAAAUUAUAUAGGAAGUGUCAAAUAAGAAACGGUGUUUACUCUUCUUUAUGUUUAUAUGCAUGUUUAUUAAUAUGUGUUCCAAAUUUGUUAGAUUCUUAAAAUUGUGAUAUGUCUUGGUAUAUGUCAUUAGUCAUAAUUGUUAUAUAAAUUUGUGGUAAGACACCUAAAAUAACAAAUUUUUCUUCUUAAUUGUGUGUAUAACCAUGGCCAUGUUGGGACUUGUCCAUAAUUAAUUGCUUUAUUGUGUUGCUUUCUUUUUUUCUGAAUGUUUUUUGCAAAUAUUAAAGUAUUUUGUCUUCAAGGAGAUUCACAGUAAGGAUAGAAAAAAAUGUAACAAAUACAGAAACACAGGUUUCUGACAAUUAUGAAGUUAUGUCUUUAGACUGGGUCAAAAUUUCCAGAACUCUAAUUUUAAGAACCUAGACUCAUAAAAUCACUAACCCAAUAUCAAACAAAACAAUAAUUAAUGAAAUAGAACUAAACUGAUAAAGGACUGAAAUGAUAUUUAUGACUUUUUUGAUUAAAACAUUGCCACUUCUUUUUCUCUCUCUCUCUCUCUCUCUCUCUCUCUCUCUCUCUCUCUCCUCCGCUAUCUAUAGCUUUACAGCAAGUUGGUAAAAUAUGCUUUUGUGAGCAAAGUUAAAACACCGACCUUUCACUCAACCUGAUCCCUCCAGAGGCAGAAACUAUGACCAGACUGUCAGAAAUUGAAGUUAAAUUUAUGGAGCCACUAAAAAUCUCCUCGGAAAAAACUGGAAUGAUGCCUUAAAUGUAUGAUUCACAUGGUUGUCUUAGAGUUGGAUAAAGAAUGUCACUUCCUGGCAGGCCCAGGAAUCUGAGGACAUUUUGGGGAUUCUCAAGAAGAGAGAUAUUCAUCCAAUUCAUAAAGGUAUUACAAAGUCUGAGAGCAAGUCAAAUUCUUGGCUUGGCUUUCCAGCUUUGAGAGACUUUCAGAAGUCUAAUCUGAAAUUCCUGAUAAGUUACAGCAAAGCAAGCUUAAAAAGACUCUAUACAAACAAUUAUCAUUCUUGCAAGAUGGAGGCAAAUAAUUAGGCCAAAGAUGAGACAUUUUGCAAAUAAAUUUGUCUUACAAAUAAUUUAUCUAUGGUGAAAAUGGGGAAAUCAGAGAAAGAAAAAUUGUUUUAG